AUCUUUGCGCAGAGGCGAUAUCGUAACCAAUGAAGUUCUACUGAGGUGCGAUUAUUGCUAGUUGAAAACUUAUAAAAAAUAAGUAUUGCAUACUUUUGAAAAACUGAAAAAUUUCAUUGCAUUUUUUUUUUUUUUUUCAAACAA